rnacentral:misc_RNA from 1 species
CACACUCCAAGCUCUGCUUGAUGUUGGACGUUGCGGCGGUGGGCGCCUCUGAGAGGGGGUACUCGCGGCGCAGGUCCGGAACGCGUGGGCGUCCCGUGAGUCGAGGAAGCGCGAGCGUAGCAAGACGUAGCCGUCAGAUCGCUCGGGCAGGCCUCCCGCGGACGUCGCAGACACACACAUAUCACGA